rnacentral:rRNA from 1 species
UACGUAGGGGGCGAGCGUUGUCCGGAGUUACUGGUCGUAAAGCGCUUGUAGGCGGUCCACCAAGUUUGGGGUGACAGUUGCCGACUUAAUCGGCAAAGUGCCUCAAAGACUGGCGGACUUGAGGGCCACAGAGGGACAUGGAACUCCAGGUGUAGUGGUGAAAUGCGUAGAUAUCUGGAAGAACACCAAAGGCGAAGGCAGUGUCCUGGGUGGUCGCUGACGCUGAGAGGCGAAAGCCAGGGGAGCGAACGGG